rnacentral:ncRNA from 2 species
CAUAGGAUUGAUCGUCGAGGUUCUCCGGGACAUUCAAGCCCGGAGCUAAGAGGGAAGCCGGUGCGCUCUGGUCGAUGGGCCUUCGUCCAUGGAUUGGCAAUGCCGGCGCUGCCCCCGCAACUGUAAGCGGCGAGCCGUGGUCCAUCAGUGUCACUGGGAGUAAUCCCGGGAAGGCCGGACCGAAGCCGAGACCCGCGAGCCAGGAGACCUGCCCCGGCAACAUAGUCGUC